rnacentral:rRNA from 1 species
AGCGAACGCUGGCGGCAGGCUUAACACAUGCAAGUCGAACGCAUCCUUCGGGGUGAGUGGCAGACGGGUGAGUAACACGUGGGAACGUACCUCUUUGUUCGGAAUAACUCAUGGAAACGUGAGCUAAUACCGGAUACGCCCUUUUGGGGAAAGAUUUAUCGCAGAGAGAUCGGCCCGCGUCUGAUUAGCUAGUUGGUGAGGUAAUGGCUCACCAAGGCGACGAUCAGUAGCUGGUCUGAGAGGAUGAUCAGCCACACUGGGACUGAGACACGGCCCAGACUCCUACGGGAGGCAGCAGUGGGGAAUAUUGGACAAUGGGCGCAAGCCUGAUCCAGCCAUGCCGCGUGAGUGAUGAAGGCCUUAGGGUUGUAAAGCUCUUUUAUCCGGGAAGAUAAUGACUGUACCGGAAGAAUAAGCCCCGGCUAACUUCGUGCCAGCCGCCGCCGUAA